AGAGUUUGAUUCUGGCUCAGAACGAACGCUGGCGGCGUGGAUAAGACAUGCAAGUCGAACGGGACUUUUCUUUGUAGCAAUACAGAGAAAAGUCUAGUGGCGAACGGGUGCGUAACACGUGAGCAUUCUGCCGAGAAGUGGGGGAUAGCUCGCCGAAAGGCGAAUUAAUACCGCAUGUGGCCAAGGAAGAUAUCUCCCUGACGCCAAAGCCGGGGCAACCUGGCGCUUCUUGAUGGGCUCGCGGCCUAUCAGCUUGUUGGUGAGGUAACGGCUCACCAAGGCUAUGACGGGUAGCUGGUCUGAGAGGACGACCAGCCACACUGGAACUGAGACACGGUCCAGACACCUACGGGUGGCAGCAGUCGAGAAUUUUUCACAAUGGGGGAAACCCUGAUGGAGCGACGCCGCGUGGAGGAUGAAGGUUUUCGGAUUGUAAACUCCUGUCAUUAGAGAACAAGGUACACGGUUUAACUGGCCGUGUGUUGAUAGUAUCUGAAGAGGAAGAGACGGCUAACUCUGUGCCAGCAGCCGCGGUAAUACAGAGGUCUCAAGCGUUGUUCGGAUUCAUUGGGCGUAAAGGGUGCGUAGGUGGCGAUGUAAGUCGGGUGUGGAAUCUCCAAGCUCAACUUGGAAACUGCACUCGAUACUGCGUUGCUAGAGGACUGUAGAGGGCAUUGGAAUUCACGGUGUAGCAGUGAUAUCCGUAGAUAUCGUGAGGAAGACCAGUGGCGAAGGCGAAUGCCUGGGCAGUUCCUGACACUGAGGCACGAAGGCCAGGGGAGCGAACGGGAUUAGAUACCCCGGUAGUCCUGGCAGUAAACGGUGCACGUUUGGUGUGGGAGGAUUCGACCCCUUCCGUGCCGGAGCUAACGCGUUAAACGUGCCGCCUGGGGAGUACGGUCGCAAGAUUAAAACUCAAAGAAAUUGACGGGGACCCGCACAAGCGGUGGAGUAUGUGGCUUAAUUCGAUCAACGCGAAGAACCUUACCUGGCCUUGACAUGCAUCUCUAAACCGGUGAAAGCCGGCGAGUGUAGCAAUACACAAUUUGCACAGGUGCUGCAUGGCUGUCGUCAGCUCGUGUCGUGAGAUGUUGGGUUAAGUCCCGCAACGAGCGCAACCCCUGUGAACUGUUGCCAUGGAGACGUGAGUCUCCGGCACUCUGUUCAGACUGCCCUGUUCAACGGGGAGGAAGGUGGGGACGACGUCAAGUCAGUAUGGCCCUUACGGCCAGGGCUGCACACGUACUACAAUGCCCGAAACAGAAGGAUCCGAGACCGCGAGGUGGAGGAAAUCACGAAAUUCGGGCCCAGUUCGGAUUGGAGGCUGCAACUCGCCUCCAUAAAGCCGGAAUCGCUAGUAAUGGCGCAUCAGCUACGGCGCCGUGAAUACGUUCCCGGGUCUUGUACACACCGCCCGUCACAUCAUGGGAGUCGUUUGUACCCGAAGUGCGCGCGCCAACCGCAAGGAGGCAGCGCCCUAAGGUAUGAGCGGUAACUGGGAUGAAGUCGAACAAGGUA
rnacentral:rRNA from 1 species